rnacentral:rRNA from 1 species
GAGGAGGUCGCGGCUGAUUAGCUAGUUGGCGGGGUAAUGGCCCACCAAGGCAAAGAUCGGUAGCCGGCCUGAGAGGGCGCACGGCCACACUGGAACUGAAACACGGUCCAGACUCCUACGGGAGGCAGCAGUGGGGAAUUUUGCGCAAUGGGGGAAACCCUGACGCAGCAACGCCGCGUGGAGGAUGAAGUCCCUUGGGACGUAAACUCCUUUCGACCCGGACGAUAAUGACGGUACGGGUGGAAGAAGCCCCGGCUAACUUCGUGCCAGCAGCCGCGGUAAUACGAGGGGGGCAAGCGUUGUUCGGAAUUAUUGGGCGUAAAGGGCGCGUAGGCGGUGCGGUAAGUCACCUGUGAAACCUCUAGGCUUAACCUAGAGCCUGCAGGCGAAACUGCCGUGCUCGAGGGUGGGAGAGGUGCGUGGAAUUCCCGGUGUAGCGGUGAAAUGCGUAGAUAUCGGGAGG